rnacentral:lncRNA from 1 species
GUUUGCAUUCAUUGUCUAUUGUUUGCAUUUAUGUUUGCAUUAAUGUUUGCAUUUAUUCAUCUGUUCACCUGGCUGGUUGUCUGUUUCUCUCUGUGUGGGGGGAAGAGUCAGUUGAGGUAAAAGGUCCAAUACCCAGACCAUGAGUGCAAUCUAGGAUACCUAGGAAUAGAGUGAUUCAUGGGAAGCGGGUGGUAUGGCGCCACUUAGCGGAACAUUGAUAUCACGAGCAGUUCAGACCCUGGUGGGAUGCUGUCGUUACAUACUUCGGGUGUGUAUAUGAUAGUAUUCCUGCGAAAGGUUAUUUAUGCUGCGUUUCUCUCAGCCUUACCCUGGCCUAGACUACACCCGUGAGUGGGGAAGGGUUAUUCAUUACAGGUACCGAUGGUGACUGUUGGUGACUGUUGGUGACUAAUGGUGACUCAGUGUGUUCCUGUUGGUGACUCAUCUUCUCAGAUCGGGUUCAGACGACAGUUGACCAGUUGACUUUGGGUUUCAGAUGAAUUGUUGUUCAGAGUUCGAGCCGAAGCUUCGAUCCUGGGUUCAGAGAUGCACAGCUUGCCAGUCGUGUCUGCAUCAUGUGCAUCAUAGCAUGUUUAUUUUUCAAAGGAAACGCAAUGAAAGAAAAAUUGAAAAAAAUAAAAAAAAAAAAAAAAGGAAAAGAGAAGAGCUAAUCCUUGCAUGCAUAUCAUUUCUCAGGUACAUUCCAGAGCUUGAUUCAUUGAUAGAGAUGGCAACAGUUCCCGAGCCGAAGCGGAAGACCUGUUCC